CUCGAACUCAGAAAUCCACCUGCCUCUGCCUCCCAACUGCUGGGAUUACAGGCGUGUGCUACCACUGCCCGGUUACAUAUUUGUUUUUUUUUUUCAUUUGUAUUUAAAGUUUUUAUUUAUAUUUAUUUUAUAUAUGUCUAGGAAGUUUUGCUGGUAUAUAUCUAUGUUCAAUGAAUGUGCAGUUCUUGAGGAGGCCAGAAGAUGGUGUCAUUAUCAUCUAGUAGAUUCUAGAACCAGAGUUAUAGAGUUCAUUGCCACAUGGGUGCUGGGAAUCAAACCGGGAAACUUUGGAAGAACAACAAGUGCUCUUAACUGCCGAGCCAUCUCUCUAGCCCCUCCCCCCCUUUUAAAAUUGAGACAAGGUCUUGUCAUUUAGUGUAAACUGGCCUCAAACUUGCUAUGUAGCCUACAUUGGCCUCAAAGUUACUGUGCUCCUCCUGUCUCAUCCUACCAAAUAGGUAUUGGUAUGCUGUGUUUCAGCAUUUGGUUCUGAAGUGUGAGCUCA
rnacentral:lncRNA from 1 species